GGGAGGGGGAAGGGCAAAGGAGAGGAGGAUCAAACAGCCCUGCCUCCCAAAGUCAGCUCAGGAGCUGUUGGUAUGAAAUUUGCUUUGAGAGCCGGAGAAGACGUGCUUGCCGAUUUUGAUAGUUUUGAUGCUGACAGGCCUGAUUUCCAGUCCUUAGCUGCUUCUAUUGCUUCAAUCUGGGAUCAAAAUUCUAUGGACAGUCAAGGCCAUGGAGUUCAAUAGGCCAAGAAUCCUCAAGGGAGGGGAAGCUUUGGAUCCGAGCCCCACAUUAAAAGAUUUAUUAUUCUUCUGUCA